AAAGUCGUAACAAGGUAACCGUAGGUGAACCUGCGGUUGGAUCAUUAAAAAUAUCUUGAUUGGCUUUGGUGGUUUUCGCCAUUGAGCCCUCACGGGUUCUGGCUGAGAUCAUCAAAAACACGCCAUGACACACCUUUGUGAACCAUUGAAACACACUUUGUUAUUGUUUACCACUGAAAAUUUUGAGAUACAAAUGAGAAACAACUUUAGACAACGGAUCUCUUGGCUCUC
rnacentral:misc_RNA from 1 species